rnacentral:rRNA from 1 species
AGAGUUUGAUCAUGGCUCAGAAUCAACGCUGGCGGCGUGCCUAACACAUGCAAGUCGUACGCGAAAGGGGAGCAAUCCCUGAGUAGAGUGGCUAACGGGUGAGUAACACGUGGGUGACCUGCCUCAGAGUGGGGGAUAACGUCCCGAAAGGGACGCUAAUAUCGCAUAACAUCCUGCCUUUGGAAAGGCGGAGAUCAAAGCCGGGGAUCGCAAGACCUGGCGCUUGGAGAGGGGCCCGCGUCUGAUUAGCUAGUUGGUAGGGUAAUGGCCUACCAAGGCGACGAUCAGUAUCCGGCCUGAGAGGGCGGACGGACACACUGGGACUGAGACACGGCCCAGACUCCUACGGGAGGCAGCAGUGGGGAAUUGUUCGCAAUGGGCGCAA